rnacentral:misc_RNA from 1 species
GGGCAAUGCAGCCUUCUCCGCCGGCGACUUCUCCUCCGCCGUCCGCCAUUUCUCCGAUGCCAUCCAACUUGCUCCUAACAAUCACGUUCUUUAUUCCAAUCGAUCUGCGGCUUAUGCUUCUCUCCAUCAAUAUUCCGAGGCCUUGGUUGAUGCUCAGAAGACCGUAGAGUUGAAGCCGGACUGGCCUAAGGGUUACAGCCGGCUUGGCGCUGCUCAUCUUGGUCUCGGUGAACAUGAGGCGGCUGUAUCUGCUUAUAAGAAAGGGCUUGAGAUUGAUCCUAGCAAUGAAGCUUUGAAAUCUGGACUGGCUGAUGCUCAGUCUGCGGCGGCUUCCAGGUCGCGUCCGGCGCCUCCACCGAAUCCGUUUGGGAAUGUUUUCUCUGGACCUGAGAUGUGGGCUAAACUGACCGCUGAUCCGACGACUAGGGCUUUU